rnacentral:rRNA from 1 species
GAUGAACGCUAGCGGCAGGCCUAACACAUGCAAGUCGAGGGGCAGCGCAAAACAAGCUUGCUUGUUUGGCGGCGACCGGCGCACGGGUGCGUAACGCGUAUGCAACCUACCCUGUACUGGGGGAUAGCCCGGAGAAAUUCGGAUUAAGACCCCAUAGUAUAUGUGAAUCGCAUGGUUUACAUAUUAAAGGUUACGGUACAGGAUGGGCAUGCGUCCUAUUAGCUUGUUGGUGAGGUAACGGCUCACCAAGGCGACGAUAGGUAGGGGGCCUGAGAGGGUGGUCCCCCACACUGGUACUGAGACACGGACCAGACUCCUACGGGAGGCAGCAGUGAGGAAUAUUGGUCAAUGGGCGCAAGCCUGAACCAGCCAUGCCGCGUGCAGGAAGAAGGUCCUAUGGAUUGUAAACUGCUUUUAUUUGGGAAUAAACCUCUUUACGUGUAGAGAGCUGAAGGUACCAAAUGAAUAAGCACCGGCUAACUCCGUGCCAGCCGCCGCCGUAAGAC